AGAGUUUGAUCAUGGCUCAGAUUGAACGCUGGCGGCAUGCUUUACACAUGCAAGUCGAACGGCAGCACGGGAGCUUGCUCCUGGUGGCGAGUGGCGAACGGGUGAGUAAUAUAUCGGAACGUGUCCAAUAAUGGGGGAUAACUAGUCGAAAGAUUAGCUAAUACCGCAUACGCCCUGAGGGGGAAAGUGGGGGAUCUUCGGACCUCACGUUAAUGGAGCGGCCGAUAUCUGAUUAGCUAGUUGGUGAGGUAAAGGCUCACCAAGGCGACGAUCAGUAGCUGGUCUGAGAGGACGACCAGCCACACUGGGACUGAGACACGGCCCAGACUCCUACGGGAGGCAGCAGUGGGGAAUUUUGGACAAUGGGGGCAACCCUGAUCCAGCCAUGCCGCGUGAGUGAAGAAGGCCUUCGGGUUGUAAAGCUCUUUCGCAAGGGAAGAAACGAUGCAGACGAAUAAUCUGCGUUAAUGACGGUACCUUGAUAAGAAGCACCGGCUAACUACGUGCCAGCAGCCGCGGUAAUAC
rnacentral:rRNA from 1 species